CCAGACUCCUACGGGAGGCAGCAGUGAGGAAUAUUGGUCAAUGGGCGGGAGCCUGAACCAGCCAAGUCGCGUGAGGGAAGACGGUCCUAUGGAUUGUAAACCUCUUUAGGCGGGGAGCAAUGCCGGGCACGUGUGCCCGGAGGGAGAGUACCCGCAGAAUAAGCAUCGGCUAACUCCGUGCCAGCAGCCGCGGUAAUACGGAGGAUGCGAGCGUUAUCCGGAUUUAUUGGGUUUAAAGGGUGCGUAGGCGGAAUAUCAAGUCGGCGGUAAAAAUUCGGGGCUCAACCCCGUCGUGCCGUUGAAACUGAUGUUCUUGAGUGGGCGAGAAGUAUGCGGAAUGCGUGGUGUAGCGGUGAAAUGCAUAGAUAUUAGGAGGAACACCAGUGGCGAAGGCGGCUUACUGGACUGUAAAUGACGCUGAGGCUCGAAAGCGUGGGGAGCAAACAGGAUUAGAUACCCUUGUA
rnacentral:rRNA from 1 species